GCGCUGCUGACGAAUCCCGAACAGAACGAAACGGCUGUCCAGUGC
rfam:Echinostoma caproni strain Egypt genome assembly, scaffold: ECPE_scaffold0000884